UACUCUCUUACUCUCUUAUUCUCUGCUCUCUUACUCUCUCUUGAUUGAGACUUGAUCAUUUAUCAUGCAAUCGAAUGCUAAUACCCGAGGUCGAUUAGAAUUUGAAAUCGUAAAAUGCUGAUAAGAAUAAUGAGGUUAGGUAUUGGAGAAUUGGAGUUUAGGGUUGAAUUCCAUCAAGUUUCUGUGUGAAUAGAUGUUAAUGCACUCUCUUCAGGUAAUGGAUGCUAUAAUUUCAAUUUUUCUGCAUGUCAAAAGAUUUUAUUAGGAUGUCUUCUCUAAUGAUGAAAGUUUUUUGGGAAUGUAACGGUGAUAGGCUAUGUGGUUUUGCUCAAGUUAAUAUGCAAAAUCUGCAGCAGGCAAUUUCUUCACGGGAAACGAUGUGAAUCGAACACGCAGCCUUCUGAAUCAAACCUAAGUCUGAAUAGCGCUUAAUGGAUUGACGAAAACAUUCAAAACCCUAACCCCUAAUUCCCGGCGCUUAAUGGAUUUUUCCAUUUUACAAUCCUGAAUCAAAUUUUCUCUUUCUUCCCUUCAGCAUGAAAUGGCAUCUAUCUGGACUCUCCAAUUUCAUUUCUCCCCUAGUGUCCCGUAGCCGUCAUGUAUGGACGAAAAGCACAAAUCCCUUCAAAUUUCAUUUCAGCAUGAAUUGGCAUCUAUCUGGACUCUCCAAUUUCAUUUCUCCUCUAGUGUCCUGUAGCCGUCAUGUUUGGACGCAAAGCACCAAUCCCUUCAAAUGCAGCUGUAUUUAGGACCGAAUUCUGGUGCAGACAUGACAAUCUAUAAACUGGAAUCGGGUAGGAAUCUAUCAAAAGUUGAUGUCAAGGCCAAUUAGAGCUUCUUUGAACUCGGAUAAGAAUCGAAGUGCCCAAGAUGAGGUCGCUUAUGAGAUAGUUCCCGCGGUAGAUUCCAAAAACCCAAUUGGCAAAUUUCAGCGGGCAAUUAAUUUUUUGC